rnacentral:rRNA from 1 species
AGAGUUUGAUCCUGGCUCAGGAUGAACGCUGGCGGCGUACCUAAUACAUGCAAGUCGAGCGAACAGAUAAGGAGCUUGCUCCUUUGACGUUAGCGGCGGACGGGUGAGUAACACGUGGGUAGCUUACCUAUAAGACUGGAAUAACUCCGGGAAACCGGGGCUAAUGCCGGAUAACAUGUUGAACCGCAUGGUUCUACAGUGAAAGGCGGCUUUGCUGUCACUUAUAGAUGGACCCGCGCCGUAUUAGCUAGUUGGUGAGGUAACGGCUCACCAAGGCAACGAUACGUAGCCGACCUGAGAGGGUGAUCGGCCACACUGGAACUGAGACACGGUCCAGACUCCUACGGGAGGCAGCAGUAGGGAAUCUUCCGCAAUGGGCGAAAGCCUGACGGAGCAACGCCGCGUGAGUGAUGAAGGUCUUCGGAUCGUAAAACUCUGUUAUUAGGGAAGAACAAAUGCGUAAGUAACUGUGCGCGUCUUGACGGUACCUAAUCAGAAAGCCACGGCUAACUACGUGCCAGCAGCCGCGGUAAUACGUAGGUGGCAAGCGUUAUCCGGAAUUAUUGGGCGUAAAGCGCGCGUAGGCGGUUUUUUAAGUCUGAUGUGAAAGCCCACGGCUCAACCGUGGAGGGUCAUUGGAAACUGAAAAACUUGAGUGCAGAAGGGGAAAGUGGAAUUCCAUGUGUAGCGGUGAAAUGCGCAGAGAUAUGGAGGAACACCAGUGGCGAAGGCGACUUUCUGGUCUGUAACUGACGCUGAUGUGCGAAAGCGUGGGGAUCAAACAGGAUUAGAUACCCUAGUAGUCC